AUUCAUGAAUGCGGAUCCCUUUUGGUGGGGGAAAAAACUAGAACACUGCAUUUUCUUUGCAACCUUUUUAGAGCGUUCCCUGCCAUUGCUGAAUGCAGUCCAUAGAUUGUUCUUCAUGCUUUAUCUCUUUAUUAACAAACCUGUAACAUUUUACAUGGACUGAAAAAGAAAAGUGAAGUGAAAAUCAGAUCGUGUAGGAUUUUAACCAGCAUCAGUGGAAGA
rnacentral:lncRNA from 1 species